rnacentral:rRNA from 1 species
ACCAGACGAUGCGGUUACCGCGGCUGCUGGCACGGAGUUAGCCGGUGCUUCUUCUGUGAGUGAUGUCCUUCCUGCCGGUUAUUGACCCGCAGGCCUUCUUCCUCACUGAAAGUGCUUUACAACCCGAAGGCCUUCUUCACACACGCGGCAUGGCUGGAUCAGGGUUGCCCCCAUUGUCCAAUAUUCCCCACUGCUGCCUCCCGUAGGAGUCUGGGCCGUGUCUCAGUCCCAGUGUGGCUGAUCAUCCUCUCAGACCAGCUACGGAUCGUCGCCUUGGUGAGCCGUUACCUCACCAACCAGCUAAUCCGACAUAGGCUCAUCCGAUAGCGCGAGGCCCGAAGGUCCCCCGCUUUCCCCCGUAGGGCGUAUGCGGUAUUAGCCUGGGUUUCCCCAGGUUAUCCCCCACUACCGGGCAGAUUCCUAUGCAUUACUCACCCGUCCGCCGCUCGCCACCAGGGAGCAAGCUCCCCGUGCUGCCGCUCGACUUGCAUGUGUUAGGCCUGCCGCCAGCGUUCAAUCU